GCCACCUAGACUACGAUCUGCUCAUGCAUUUGUAAUAGCCGCAGUAUUCUGACUGUGCUAAGGUAGCAUAAUCAUUAGUCUUUUAAUUGGAGGCUGGUAUGAAUGACGAGACGAGAAAAUGACUGUCUCUAUAAUAAACUUUGAAUUUCAUUUCUGAGUGAAAAAGCUCAGAUAAUUUUGAAGGACGAUCAGACCCUUUGGAGCUUUAUUUACUUUAAAAAUUUGAAUUUGUUUUAAUUGAUUGAAUGGAAAGUAAAUUUUGUUGGGGCGACAGGGAGUAAAAUAUAACACUCUUUUUUUAAAACAAUCCUAAUUGGAAAAUUGAUCCUUAGAGUGAGAUUACAAGACUAAGUUACCCUAGGGAUAACAGCGUAAUCUUUUUGGAGAGUUCAAAUCGAUAAAAAGGUUUGCGACCUCGAUGUUGGAUUAAGAGAUUGGCAAGGUGCAGAAGUUUUGCUGGAAAGUCUGUUCGACUUUUAAUCUCUUACGUGAUCUGA
rnacentral:rRNA from 1 species